CCGCAUUCCGCUGGUCAAGCUGCUCGGCAUAUCGCCGCACGGUCUGAAUGGCACCGCAGAGCCCGAGAUCCGCGUUUUCUACGAUUCGAUCCACGCAUUUCAGGAGAAGUUCUUUACGCGCCACCUGCGCACCGUGAUCGCGUUCGCCCAGAUCAACAUUUGGGGCAAGGUCGAUCCGGAUAUCUCGUUCAUCUACGAGCCGCUUUGGUCGCUCGACGAAAA
rnacentral:misc_RNA from 1 species